GGGUAUUCCUCGGUUUCACCUGUUGUCAUGCUUGUGAGGGACUCAAGCAAAUUAGACUGUCGGCAUUCCCUGCGGUACUCAAGUGUCAUGCUGGUGAGAUGAUAGUCCUCUAGCACAUUCAUCGGCACGCUCUGCAACAGGGUUGGUUGAAGUUGUCGACAUGCUGGUCAAUUAUGAGGAUCUAGCAUUGUACUGGGGAUAUGCGUGUGAGAGAGAAAAGAAGAUGAUGGUAUGCAAACAAAAAGUAGAAGUGGAGCACCUGCAGGAGAUUCAUGAGGGUCUCCAUGGUUGCAGUUUUGUCAGGGCCAAUCUCAUAAGAUCUGAUCACAAAGGUCUGCCUGUAAACAA